CGUUAAUGUAUAACCAUUCAGUCGCUCCUAAGAUUCGGCCAUGGAAAUAAUUAGUAUUGCCUGCUAAAAAAGAUUUUUGUAUACAAUUUAAACAAUAAAUUGAAAUUGACAGUACGAAUUUGGUAUAGAAGAGUCGACGGUAUUUGUUUAAGGGAAGAUAUCAUAUAAAACAAACCUGAAAAUUCUAGGAAAACUGACUCGCGUGGUAAAUAUGCGGCCAUGUAAUGCACGUACGUUAAAUAUCUUGACGUAGACUUCCUUCAGCACAUGUGGUAUGUAUUGUGAUCAUAACAAAGUGUCCACGGCAUUUAACAGCGCGAUAUAGUCUGGGAGUGGACGUGCAGUAUUAGAACUGGUGAAGCGGACACUUUGUAACCAUGAAUGAAAACAUGUUGUGCCUUAUGUUUUUCUUUAUUAUACCAAUGACAAAGGGAACGAUUCCAGGAACAUUCUUUUGGAAGCCGCGACUGGGUAUCGAUUUGAAUAUACCGCCCACAGAAAAAAUGUCUUCCGAUGUCCAUUUCCCAACAAAGGAAAACAUAAGGGAAGGUCUGGUGGUGCUGGUUGAUGGCUACCAGGUUGGCAUGACCGUGAUAGCGUUCGCGGCCGGUAUUGGCAGCGUAGAACCUUUCAUUCACUUGAACCCGCUCUCAGCCUAUUAUUAUACCAACGCGUACAGAUGGACAUUAAGAUACGUCAGCAUGAUACCAUUCUGGAUGAGCGGACACUGGGGGAAUUACUGUGAAUCACAUAAAGUAUGGAUGCGUCGGUUCUAUUACAUGGACCAAUUCAUCCCGCCGUGGCUGAGGAAUCUAUUCCCUUAUGUGGACAAAAAGGAGUGGAAGAAGGAAGAGAAGGAGUUUCAAAGGUUUAAAAGUACGCGGAGUCGGCUUUCGGCAAACAUUACCGAUUCCCAACAAAAAAAUUCAAAGACUUCGCAUCGGAACUAACCAAAGAAACAGUGGAAGGACUGGAUGCAUCCUCCCAUUCAAUGAGCUAAAUACACGUAAAUCGUGAGAGUUUUGAGGGUUGAAUUAAAAUAUAAGUCAAAGUAGGAAAUUUAUUUCAGUUACAAUGUCACAUUGAUCAUGAAUGAAAUCUUUGGUUUUAUCCUAUUAUAUUAGUAACAUAUUGAUUAUUGAGUACAAAAGUGUUUGAACAUAAUGUAACUACUUGCUAAUCACAUGUCAAUAAACUAUAAUUAUUUUAA